AUUUUUGGGGUGUCUCGGUGGAUUUUUGGGGUGUUUCCGAGGUUUUUGGGGUGUUUUCCGAUCCCCCCAGCCCUGGGGGCUCACGGGGGGUGUCUCGGUGGAUUUUUGGGGUGUCUCGGUGGAUUUUUGGGGUGUUUCCGAGGUUUUUGGGGUGUUUUCCGAUACCCCCAGCCCUGGGGGCUCACGCCGGGGCCGUUUUGGGGCUCGCCCUGGGCUGGCUCGAGGCCUGGGACGGCGCCGCCCUCUGGGCCUCGCUGGCGCUCAGUGUCCCCCCGGCCGUGACGGAGCUGCUGCUGCUGGGCCGGGUCCUGCUUUGCCGCCGGGGGGCGCUCUGAGCGCGGGGGUCCCAAAAAUCCACCCAGGGACCCCCCCAGAAUCACCCGGGGGUCCCCAAAAUCCACCAGGGACCACCCAGAAUCACCCGGGGAUCCCCAAAAUCCCGAAAAUCACCCGGGGGUUCCCAAAACCCCCCCAGGGACCCCCCCAGAAUCACCCGGGGGUCCCCAAAA
rnacentral:lncRNA from 1 species